rnacentral:rRNA from 1 species
CCUACGGGUGGCAGCAGUGGGGGAUAUUGCACAAUGGGGGAAACCCUGAUGCAGCGACGCCGCGUGAGUGAAGAAGUAUUUCGGUAUGUAAAGCUCUAUCAGCAGGGAAGAAAAUGACAGUACCUGACCAAGAAGCCCCGGCUAACUACGUGCCAGCAGCCGCGGUAAUACGUAGGGGGCAAGCGUUAUCCGGAUUUACUGGGUGUAAAGGGAGCGUAGACGGUUAUGUAAGUCUGGAGUGAAAGCCCGGGGCCCAACCCCGGGACUGCUUUGGAAACUGUGUAACUGGAGUACAGGAGGGGCAGGCGGAAUUCCUGGUGUAGCGGUGAAAUGCGUAGAUAUCAGGAGGAACAUCGGUGGCGUAAGCGCUUUACUGGGCCGUAAUUGACGCUGAGGAACGAAAGCCAGGGUAGCAAAUGGGAUUAGAUACCCCAGUAGUC